rnacentral:rRNA from 1 species
CGCAAGCCUGACGGAGCAAGACCGCGUGGGGGAUGACGGCCUAAUGGUUGUAAACCCCUUUUCUCUGGGAAGAAGACUGACGGUACCAGAGGAAUCAGCCUCGGCUAACUCCGUGCCAGCAGCCGCGGUAAUACGGAGGAGGCAAGCGUUAUCCGGAAUUAUUGGGCGUAAAGCGUCCGUAGGUGGUUAUUCAAGUCUGCUGUCAAAGCGUGGGGCUUAACUCCAUAGAGGCAGUGGAAACUGAGUGACUAGAGUGCAGUAGGGGUCGAGGGAAUUCCCAGUGUAGCGGUGAAAUGCGUAGAUAUUGGGAAGAACACCAGUGGCGAAAGCGCUCGACUGGGCCUGCACUGACACUGAGGGACGAAAGCUAGGGGAGCG